CCUCUCCUGAGUUACGAGCUGCUCCUCAGUCCUAAGCUCCAGCCUGCUCCCAGAUGGGUGAGGAGACCAUUCCCAACAAUGGGAGUGUGGUAAAGGAGACUGGAAAUUAGCAGUGGGCAAACUGGACCCAGGAAAGGGAAUGAAGGCUGAAGAUUUUGGGAAGCUGUGCGUGACACUGGUGAAGCAGGUCUGCAUGGGGACGGACAGGCAAGCUGGUCAAGACGAACGGCUUUUUUACCAGAACUAAUUAAGCUAGGAGACAACAUGGAUUUCUCAAAUAAAUCUCACCCGUAUUUCAGAGGAGCACUGGGUGGAUGGAACUGACAGGUUGGCCAAAGCACUCUGUGAAGAUCACUGCUAUUAUUCAAUUGUGUUAGUAUCUCACUUGCACACAGAGUUUAUAAACCAGAAUUAAAG
rnacentral:lncRNA from 1 species